ensembl:snoRNA
GUUGAGGUCUGUCCUGAUAGGGCUUUUUCUGUACUGCACAUUGUUGGAAACACCACACAGAGUAACACUGUGGUUUUGGCUUACCGAUAGGACUACUGGUUAGAUCUGUGAGAACAACUAAAAGCAUGAA